rnacentral:lncRNA from 1 species
UGAAUUUUGAGCUGGUGUUUUAUUUAAAUCAUGAACACUAUUGCUUUGUGGUCGAGUUUUGAACGGGUCACUUAUCGGGCUUGCUUUGGGCCUCACUAUAGCUGCCAAAAGACCACAGUCCCAAUUUGCAGGGUCUUCCAAGGGGAAGUACGAGACCGGUGGUGAAGCUUGGUUAGAACCAUGGUUAGGGUUCAGGUUAUGGAUUGUGUUUGGAACAGGAACCGAUUUUAAGAUCGGGUUGAAGUUCUUAUUUGGUGUACUAGGAAGGUUAUGCAUUGUGUUUGGAACAGGAGUUGAGUUUAAGAUCGGGCUGAAGUUCUUAUUUGGCGUACUAGAAAGGUUAUGCAUUGUGUUUGGAACAUGAGCGGAGUUUAAGAUCGGGUUGAAGUUCUUACUUGGUGUAGUAGGAAGGUUAUGCAUUGUGUUUGGAACGAAGGUUAUGCAUUGUGUUUGGAACGUGAGCGGAGUUUAAGAUCGGGUUGACGUUCUUAUUUGGUGUACUAGGAAGGUUAUGCAUUGUGUUUGGAACGUGAGCGGAGUUUAAGAUCGGGUUGAAGUUCUUAUUCGGUGUACCAGAAACCCGAGUUUGACCUCCAUUAUUUUGAUGAUGGUCUUGAGCUACUUCGUUCAAAUUUAGAGGCUCUUUUUGUAACAAACCUUGGUACAUCCCAACCAAAUCCCCCCAAUCUUCAUUUCCCAUUUGAUUUCGGGGCUUGUUAGCCGUAAUCACAUUUGACGUUUGGAGAUUCGGUUUUCCAGGUGUCACGGGAGUCCAAGAGCUACUUCCACUAGCAUUCCCAUUCCCAUUCCCAUUCACAUUCCCAUUCCCUCGGGAAUAUGAAUUCGUGUGUACUACCGGAUUCCAAAUCCCAUCAUUUUGCACAAAGCCAUUCCCAUUCCCGUUCCCAUGAUGGAUUGUUGUCCAUGAAUCUCUCUGACCCUCGAUUCCAAUUCCAUUUCCAGUUGACCUGACCGGAGUUGUCAUCCAUGAUUCCGAUUCCCUGGGUCGAAUAAUUCCAUCAUCCACCACAACCCCCCUUCUCGGAGUCUCGCCUAAACUCUCAACCCCUUGCGGAAACUGUCCGCCAAACAUGGCGGCAGUCCAAGAACCCGGGUUCGGCCCAACACCAUUAUUCUCCGGCGGAAUAACCUUCACGGCAAUCCACGAUUCCUUAUUUCCAUACUGAGGGAGUGGAAAACCCCUCCCAUAGUUCAUCCCUGAACUCACCCAACCACCAAAAAUUUCCCCCCUUUAACCUUUUUUUUCUACUUUUCCAAACCCUAAUUUUAAGAAAUACUCAAAUCAAUUGCAAUUCAGAUUCCAAUUCAACAACCCUAAUCCCCAAUCUCACUGAAACAAUCCUCAGACACCUAAAAUGUGACGGUCAGCUGACCGAUCUUUAAAACUGUAAUCACCGUCGGUGAAAUUCGCCGGAGAACAAGUCAAU